UCUGAGGGGACAGGCUAAGCACCCACCUGUAGCUCUGCCUGUAUCUCGGCAGGUGACAAAUAUUAAGCAGUAUAAAUUGCCUGGGGGCACAAGGAAAUUGGAGAAACUCUAAAGGAGUUGGAGACGGUGGUCACCAUAAAGCCCACUCAUUGUCCUUUUAAUUCCCCAGUGUGGUCAGUGAGAAAGCCAGACGGCUCCUGGCAUAUAACCGUGGACUACAGGGAAUUAAAUAAAAUCACACCCUUUUUGCAUGACCCUGUCCCCUCAAUAGCAGACAUUCUGGACACCCUCAGCCAUGAACUGGGAACGUAUCAUUAUGUCGUAGACCUUGCUAAUGCUUUCUUCUCUAUUGACAUAGCACAGGAAAGCCAGGAACAGUUUGCCUUCACGUGGGAAGGACGGCAGUGGACAUUCACUGUCCUUCCACAGGGAUAUCUCCACAGUCCCACCAUCUGUCAUGGACUUGUAGCCCAGGACUUGGCCACAUGGAAGAAACUGCAAACAGUGCAGUUGUAUCACUACAUUGAUCAUAUUAUGCUCACAUCUGAUUCUCUUUCAGGUUUAGAAGAGGCAGUUCCUAGACUGUUGCAACAUCUACAGGAAAAAGGAUGGGCUGUGAACAGCAUCAAGGUUCAGGGACCUUGUUUAUCUGUGAAAUUCUUAGGGGUUGUCUGGUCGGGUAAAACUAAAGUUGUUCCUGAUGCAGUCAUAGACAAGGUCCAGGCUUUCCCCACCCCUACCACUGUGGCAGUAUUACAAGAGUUUUUGGGUCUUUUGGGCUACUGGAGAGUGUUUAUCCCGCACUUGGCACAAAUUCUGAAGCCCUUAUACUGGUUGGCACAAAAGGGCAUCAGGUGGGACUGGGAUGAAACAUGUGCAACAGCUUUUACUGCUGCCAAGCUGGCAGUCAAGGCCGUACAGGCCUUGAACAUCAUGGACUCAUCAAAACCUUGUGAACUAGAUGUUCAUGUAACCAAAGUUGGUUAUGGAUGGAGUCUUUGGCAGUGGCUUGAAUGGACACGCCAACCUAUUGGAAUCUGGUAACAACUAUGGAAAGGAGCAGAGGUCUGGCACACCCUGAUAGAGAAGCAACUGGCUGCUGUGUACCACGCCUUGCUGGCUACGGAGCCCAUCUCCGGAACAGCUCUGAUCAAAGGACCAGUGAUGGCUGGCCCUACUGGCACCUUGGGGGAAAGGUGUGGAAGCUGGCCUCCUGUGUAUUCCUGGAAUAACAGCUGAAUGGCCCCCAAAUGUCACGGUAGUGUACCCAAAACGUCCAGGAGGUAAGAGCAUCUUCUGAGGAAGUUUUGUUUUAUCUUUAUGGCCAGUGCAUGUACCUCCCAUAGCCAUAUAUAUCGACCCAUCUGUAACUCCCACAGGGAGAGGGUGAAAGUCUGGUACACUAGACCAGGACGAGAUCCCAUUCCUGCCACUUUUAUCACAAGACCACUCUCUUGCAUGUAUUCUACCUGAUGGACAAGGUUUGCCUAUGCUGGUGCCAUUAAAACACGUAUCUUACUGACCUUAAGGUUAUUUUCUCCUAUAGUCUUUGUGGCCUGAAUGUGCCUCCUGGCUGCAGCUGCCACAUGAUGAUUGCUCUGAACCCUCAGCUACUGCCUUCCUAUGGAAUGGACGAGCUAUGGACUUAACCUGCAUAAGACUUUGAACCUAGCUGAAUCCAUCGCCUUGAGGAUUAUCAUGAUUUUAUUGCUGUUGCUAUUCUUAUGUCAUUAGUCUGGUCACAAUGCUCCAGUUUUCUCACCCAGGGAGCAUUGUGAAAGAGGUGGAAAGAGCAGAUUUUAAGGUGAGGUUUCUGGAGGGGUGGCCUGUGGGUAAAAUUGUAACAUUUCCAGAGUAUCUCGCCUGGCUUUGGUGCAUUUGCAUAUCCCCAGGGGUGGAGAGAAGUUCACCUGCAUGUCACUGGGUAAUUACCCGAGCAACCGAGGGUGUGUCUGAGCCUGAGAGGUUAAGGGGCGGGGCUGGCCUGCUUCUUCUGGAGCAGAGGAGAGAAGGUGCUGGACUGCAGUUUGUAAUAAAUAAACAGGUUUUAA